rnacentral:rRNA from 1 species
UACGUAGGGUGCAAGCGUUGUCCGGAAUUAUUGGGCGUAAAGAGCUCGUAGGCGGUUUGUCGCGUCUGCUGUGAAAACUCGGGGCUUAACUCCGGGCCUGCAGUGGGUACGGGCAGACUAGAGUGCGGUAGGGGAGACUGGAAUUCCUGGUGUAGCGGUGAAAUGCGCAGAUAUCUGGAGGAAUACCGGUGGCGAAGGCGGCAUCCUGGACCAUUACUGACGCUGAAUCGCGAAAGCUAGGGGAGCAAACGGG